UACGAAGGGGGCUAGCGUUGCUCGGAAUCACUGGGCGUAAAGCGCACGUAGGCGGCUUUCUAAGUCAGGGGUGAAAUCCUGGAGCUCAACCCCAGAACUGCCUUUGAUACUGGAGAGCUCGAGUCCGGAAGAGGUGAGUGGAACUCCGAGUGUAGAGGUGAAAUUCGUAGAUAUUCGGAAGAACACCAGUGGCGAAGGCGGCUCGCUGGUCCGGUACUGACGCUGAGGUGCGAAAGCGUGGGGAGCAAACAGG
rnacentral:rRNA from 1 species